rnacentral:rRNA from 1 species
CAUACGCGUGAGAAUCUGGCUUCAGGUCGGGGAUAACAGUGGGAAACGACUGCUAAUACCGGAUGUGCCGAGAGGUGAAAGGCUUGCUGCCUGAAGAUGAGCUCGCGUCUGAUUAGCUAGUUGGUGUGGUAAGAGCGCACCAAGGCGACGAUCAGUAGCUGGUCUGAGAGGAUGAUCAGCCACACUGGGACUGAGACACGGCCCAGACUCUACGGGAGGCAGCAGUGGGGAAUUUUCCGCAAUGCGCGAAAUCUGACGGAGCAAUACCGCGUGAGGGAGGAAGGCUCUUGGGUUGUAAACCUCUUUUCUCAAGGAAUAAAUCUGAAGGUACUUGAGGAAUCAGCAUCGGCUAAUCCGUGCCAGCAGCCGCGGUAAUACGGAGGAUGCAAGCGUUAUCCGGAAUGAUUGGGCGUAAAGCGUCCGCAGGUGGCCCUGUAAGUCUGCUGUUAAAGACAAAGCUUAACUUUGUAAAAGCAGUGGAAACUACAGAGCUAGAGUGCGUUCGGGGUAGAGGGAAUUCCUGGUGUAGCGGUGAAAUGCGUAGAAUACAGGAAGAACCCCGGUGCCGAAGGCGCUCCUACCUAGGC